rnacentral:rRNA from 1 species
UCCGGCAUAACCCCGGGAAACUGGGGAUAAUUCCGGAUAACGCACAUAUGCUGGAAUGCUUUAUGCGUAAAAUGGAUUCGUCUGCCCAAGGAUGGGUCUGCGGCCUAUCAGGUAGUAGUGGGUGUAAUGUACCUACUAGCCAACAACGGGUACGGGUUGUGAGAGCAAGAGCCCGGAGAUGGAUUCUGAGACAUGAAUCCAGGCCCUACGGGGCGCAGCAGGCGCGAAAACUUUACAAUGCGGGAAACCGUGAUAAGGGGACACCGAGUGCCAGCAUCAUAUGCUGGCUGUCCGGGUGUGUAAAAUACACCUGUUAGCAAGGGCCGGGCAAGACCGGUGCCAGCCGCCGCGGUAACACCGGCGGCCCGAGUGGUGAUCGUGAUUAUUGGGUCUAAAGGGUCCGUAGCCGGUUUGGUCAGUCCUCCGGGAAAUCUGAUAGCUUAACUAUUAGGCUUUCGGGGGAUACUGCCAGGCUUGGAACCGGGAGAGGUAAGAGGUACUACAGGGGUAGGAGUGAAAUCUUGUAAUCCCUGUGGGACCACCUGUGGCGAAGGCGUCUUACCAGAACGGGUUCGACGGUGAGGGACGAAAGCUGGGGGCACGAACCGGAUUAGAUACCCGGGUAGUCCCAGCCGUAAACGAUGCUCGCUAGGUGUCAGGCAUGGCGCGACCGUGUCUGGUGCCGCAGGGAAGCCGUGAAGCGAGCCACCUGGGAAGUACGGCCGCAAGGCUGA